UCAGAUAAGAUCAGAGUCCAGAAACAGUCCUAGAAGAGGCCAAGGCCAGCUCCUCCUUUUACAAGCGACAAGACUCAGUCCUAGAGAAGAAAGGGACUUGCCAAGUGUUACACAAUGACUCAGUAGCAAUGCUGGAAGUAGAAGCCAGAAUCCCUCACUCAGGAAAGUCAGCUCCUAUGGCAACAUUUCUCAGUUUUUUCCACCAAGGAACAGCAAUGGCAGAGAAUGAAGAUACUUCCUUCCUUGGGUCCCAGAAGACACUUCCUCCAAACUUAAUGUUUCAUUGAAGUUUGAGUGUUUUCUUAAGAAUGUUUGAAAAAGCUAAGACCAAUAUAAAGUUUAUUCUACACAUCCAUAGAGGAUGCCAAGAAAUACAAGGCACGGCCCCCAUCUCCAGAAACUUACAAUGAUGAUGAUACCAUCUGAGGGAUAGGAGGCAAUGCAGACUUGACUUCCUUUGUAACAACAGCUGGGAUUCCAUAAUCCUGAAUCAGGAAAGACAACUGAGGCACUGCGACCCUGAAAGAAGAACAUCACACCCACUGGAAAGACUGCCUUCUGACAAAACACAGAAAUACACUUCUACAACGCUUAGCCACUUAGCUUGGAUAUCUCCAGACCUCAGAGACUCUGCUUUCCUGAGACCCAGUUCACAGAAUCUCAUUCCUGGAGCCCAAUUUUUUUGAUCUGCAUCAGGUCCGUUGUUUGACAGUAAACCUUCUCUUAGUACUUCA